rnacentral:misc_RNA from 1 species
UACGUAGGGUGCGAGCGUUGUCCGGAAUUAUUGGGCGUAAAGAGCUCGUAGGCGGUGUGUCGCGUCUGCUGUGAAAGCCCGCAGCUUAACUGCGGGUGUGCAGUGGAUACGGGCAUGCUUGAGGUAGGUAGGGGAGACUGGAAUUCCUGGUGUAGCGGUGAAAUGCGCAGAUAUCAGGAGGAACACCGAUGGCGAAGGCAGGUCUCUGGGCAUUAACUGACGCUGAGGAGCGAAAGCGUGGGUAGCGAACAGG